rnacentral:lncRNA from 1 species
UAAAAUAGCACAAAUACAGAGAAUAAGUAACCAAAAAAAGAUAAAAUCAUGAAAAUCAAUCGUUGAACUAACUCAUCAAAUUUGUUGGACCCAAAAUUUUCACAACUCUCAAAGACUGCUCCAACAAGCUCAGCCAAUUUUCGGAUGAAAUUGAGGUUGACCCAUGGUAGAACUAGAUGUACCAGGUUGAGAGGAAUGUUGUGGUGGUGCUCCACGAUCGAGAGAUUGGUCGGAUAUGGAAGUAACUAGGAAAAAAUUGCCACUGCGCUAGCGAUUUUGGAUGGGAAUUGGUGCUGUUUCCAGCGGUGUGGUGGGUAGCCGAUGGUCAAAGGUUGUAGAGGGAGGUGAGAGGGUGCCGGUGGUGUGUGGGUCAGGCGACUUAGGUGGCGGGUGGUGGUUGUUAUUGAUGGAAGGAGGCGGCGAAUCGGUAGCUUGAGAAAGCUAAAUAUUUUUGGGGAAAAUGGAAGGAGGCGGGAGUGAGAGUAAGAGUUCAAGUCCAAUUUUUUAGGUCCAUACAAAAUUUUAGGUUGGAAUUGAAACUUUCGAAUUUUCCGACGGAAUUUUUUGUUUGUUACUAUAUAAUACUUUUAAAAUUCUG